ensembl:lncRNA
UGACCAUGCAGCUGCUAACACUUUCCUAUGAUUUGCAUCUUCACAUUUCUAGGACCUUGCUGUCUAUUAGAUUUAUUUUCCUUCUUGCUCCAAGCUGUGAUGAUUGAUUCAUAAAGCACAGAGCUGUACUUCGCAAGGCAUUCUAAGAAGAAAAUCUGAACUGUUUGGGAGAAGAAUUACACACCUUUGUGACUUAGUUUAUGAAGGAAGACAAUAGGUCUGGUGACCUUAUGAAGGGAGAACCUUCUCCUGUGAGGAAAAGGACUACAUCAUUCAGAAUAUUUCUCAAGAAUGAUUUUCAGCUUGAGAGGAGGAAUGAGCAAACGUGCACAGUCACAGCAUCAAGUGCCAGGAAAGGCAAAUGCAGAGCAUGUCAAAGGACUUUCAGCCCAUGGAUCUCCCUGUGCUUCUCUUGGCUGCCAAAUUCCUUCCCCACCCCAUCUGUACAGGAGAUCACACAGGGUAAUUAUGCAGGAAAACGUGCGUUGUACCACCACUGGAGCCCAUACAGAAGUAAAACAGAAGACAAUGACUGUCACAAGGAUCAUAAAAUCUGAAUAUCAUACAUAAAGGAUUUGCCUGCAUGGCUUUGUACUGCUUUAAUUAUGUUAUAUACAGAGCUGUAGUGUGUGGACCAGCCAAAACACAUUAAAUAUAUAGUUUCUAUUAAGCUUUGCAGCAUAAACAAACCACAUAGCACAGCAAACUGUCUGCCAAAAAAUGUAAUGUGGCUGAUAAAGUCUUGAGGGACAUAUAAAAUGAUAGCUUUUGAAAAAAUUAUAUAUUUUUCUAAUGUCAAUGAUGAUGAGAUUGAAAGAAAAAAAAAAAGAAAAAAGGAUUGAUAAGCCAUAUAGACAUAUAGAUGCCUU